rnacentral:misc_RNA from 1 species
CAGAGUUCAUGCCCUAACGGGUAGAUCUCCACCCUAUGUUAUUGUUACCUCGUUGCUUUGGCGGGCCGCCUUUGGCUACCGGCCCCGGCUGGUAAGCGCCCGCCAGAGAUUUAAACCCUGAAUUUUUUGUCGUCUGAGUACUAUAUAAUAGUUA